rnacentral:rRNA from 1 species
CUCGUAGUUGGAUUUCGGUUAAGAGCGACCGGUCCGCCGUUUGGUGUGCACUGGUUGGUUUUAACUUCCUGUAGAGGACGUGCUCUGGGCUUAACGGUCUGGACUCGGAGUCUACGUGGUUACUUUGAAAAAAUUAGAGUGUUCAAAGCGGGCUUACGCUUGAAUAUUUCAGCAUGGAAUAACACUAUAGGACUCCUGUCCUAUUUCGUUGGUCUCGGGACGGGAGUAAUGAUUAAGAGGAACAGUUGGGGGCAUUCGUAUUUCAUUGUCAGAGGUGAAAUUCUUGGAUUUAUGAAAGACGAACUUCUGCGAAAGCAUUUGCCAAGGAUGUUUUCAUUAAUCAAGAACGAAAGUUGGGGGCUCGAAGAUGAUUAGAUACCAUCCUAGUCUCAACCAUAAACGAUGCCGACUAGGGAUUGGCGGAUGUUAAUUGAUGACUCCGCCAGCACCU